UUGACCUCGGAUCAGGUAGGGAUACCCGCUGAACUUAAGCAUAUCAAUAAGCGGAGGAAAAGAAACCAACAGGGAUUGCCCUAGUAACGGCGAGUGAAGCGGCAACAGCUCAAAUUUGAAAUCUGGCGUCUUUGGCGUCCGAGUUGUAAUUUGCAGAGGGCGCUUUGGCAUUGGCAGCGGUCCAAGUUCCUUGGAACAGGACGUCACAGAGGGUGAGAAUCCCGUACGUGGUCGCUAGCCUUUACCGUGUAAAGCCCCUUCGACGAGUCGAGUUGUUUGGGAAUGCAGCUCUAAAUGGGAGGUAAAUUUCUUCUAAAGCUAAAUACUGGCCAGAGACCGAUAGCGCACAAGUAGAGUGAUCGAAAGAUGAAAAGCACUUUGGAAAGAGAGUUAAAAAGCACGUGAAAUUGUUGAAAGGGAAGCGCUUGCAGCCAGACUUGCCUGUAGUUGCUCAUCCGGGUUUCUACCCGGUGCACUCUUCUAUAGGCAGGCCAGCAUCAGUUUGGGCGGUUGGAUAAAGGUCUCUGUCAUGUACCUCUCUUCGGGGAGAACUUAUAGGGGAGACGACAUGCAACCAGCCUGGACUGAGGUCCGCGCAUCUGCU
rnacentral:rRNA from 1 species